UAAAGUGUGAACUCAAGAAUCAAUUCUGUUAUUAGUGGUGAAGUCAUUGUCAAGCAUACAGAGGACACAGUGAGGCUUAAAAGACCUCAAAAAACAACAAUUCCUUGGAGAAAACUAAAUUGUGGAUCAAAUGAUAUUGAAAACACAACUUUGAGUGGUCUAAAUAUGUGUUCAUGGUUUCCAGAGGAUGGUGGUCUCUGCAAUCAUGGAGGUGACAACAUAAGGAUCCAUGUUAGAAGCAGGCCUUCUGUCCUCAAAGUAACCUUUCCCUUGUUUCUCAGUGUCUCUUCCAACUCUAACUGAGCUUCCACGGUUUGCCACACCCUUCAGAGAAAAAUGUUUUACCAUUAAUUGCUAAUCUCAAAAAACAUCAUAAGAUACCAUAAGAUGAUGACUUACCCAAGAGAAUGUGUUGAUGUCUGCAGUUUCAUGUCUUCCAGUUAGACGUCUCUCAUUACCUUUUCCAUAUGCUGCAAUGUGCUCUUUGUGUCUCAAUCCAAGCUUUUCAAUGGCUUUCUUAAUCACCUCAUAACCACCCUCUUCUCUCAUGGACUUGGUGCUGUACUCACCAUUCAUUACAUCUCUCACAAAAUCAUACAUUCCAAACAAUAAUAACUCAAAUAUAUAACAUGUUUAUAAGUUUCUUGUGUUGUUCUUCUACUAUAACUUUUAAAAUAUACUGAUUUUGAUAUAUUAAUAUAUUUUGAAGAUACAGCAGAAAAAUAACAUAAAAAACCUUGUAAAAAAUCCAGAUUCAUAUAUUACCUGUAGUUUGUAUGUGCCCCAGCUCCAUUCCAAUCUCCCUAAUACCACAACCAUGAAACAAUAAGUCAAAAUAUUGAAAUAAAUUAAUGAUACAAUUAAGGUGGAUUAUUCUUUUAUUAUAUGAUUCAAUCUUUCUACUAUCAACAAUUUUACAAGAAAAUAUCUAACCGGAAUAGGCUUGGGAUCAAAUGAAACAACAGCUCCUGCCAACUCUGUAAUCCUCUGUGUCAUAACAACAUUUCAUCAACGUUUUCAUUGAUUUUCAUCAACCAUGUUCAUCAUAUAUGAUCUUUAAUAAUAAAAAAUUAGUGAAACUUCGUAUUACUUCCAAAAUGUAGCGAGCAGCCCAGACUUCAUCUCCGGCAGAGAUUCCAACAGAAGGACCAACUUGGAAUUCCCACUACAAAAUAAGAAUAAAAUUAAUAAAUAUUUUUAAUUUCAAUAAAAGCCAAUUGCAUUGUAGUAAUAAAUAGAAGACUCGUUAGUUUUCCAAAAAAGAUAAGUUUGUUCAUUAAAUCACACCAUGGAAAUGCUUUGAUAACACUAUUAUCAGUCAUUACAAUUUAAAUAUUUAAAUUUUUUAUUGUACCUGGCCUGGCAUAACCUCUCCAUUGAUGCCACUAAUGUUAAUUCCUGCAUAAACACAAGCUUUGUAAUGUGCAUCUACAAUAUCACGACCAUAGGCUUUAUCAGCACCAACUCCACAGUAGUAUGGUCCCUGUUCAAGUUAAACAUUGAUUGAGUUAACAUUAUGAAGAAAUGAAAAGAGAAAUGAAUAGAUUAAUUCAAACAAUAAUUGAUUAUUUUCAUUAACAUUAAUUUUACCUAGUUGUUCAUGCACUAGACAUUUUCACAUAUUUUGACAAAGAACCAAUUCACAUAAUUUGACGUUGAUUUAUAACAUCAAAUGCAGUGAUCAUAAACAACUUGAAGAGCAAAUUUGACAAAAAAAAAAAGAAAAAAAAAUUAAGUGAAUAUGAAUAGGAAAAGAAAAUACAAAUAGGAUUUUCUUUUUUAAAAAUAAAAGUUUUAUGAAUUUUGUCUUUAUUCAAAGUAAUGAUCUUUUUUGACAUUUUGCGUGACAAGAAAAACCAACCAAAAAUAUCUAAUGCAAAGAAUAAAACAGGCGUAUAUGAAAUCAAUUAGUGAGAUUCAAUUAUUACAGUAUAGUACAAUCAAAUCUUGGAAAGUUACCCAAAACAAUGGUAACAUAAAAAACACUCUUUGAAAAUGAAAAAAGAAAAUAGAACUAGAGUAGAGUGAAAUACUAGUUCAAAAGGUGUUAAGAGAUAGACUUUAAACUUAACUCAACCUACAAAAUUGACUUGUAGUGUUUGUAGUGUGAGAUUUGCAUGCACAUAUAUACUAUAAACUGGUUUUAUCUCUAGUCGAUAUAAAUCUUUUCUUACAAAUCAUGGUUGAAGAAUGCAUUGUUGACAUUUAGUGAAUGAAGAGGUCAUUGUUAAAGAGUCACAAUUGUUAUAAAUAAACUAACAAACCAUUUUUAUCAUGGGAGAAAAAAUAUAUAUAGAUGGAUCAAACGUAACAGUUACAAAAGGAAGGUCAGAAGACGUAGAAGAAGUCGUGGAUGAACAGGAAAGAAAAACCUUAAAACUCAAGAUUCUCCAAUCAAGACACCUCAAAGGGAAAAAAGAGCAAUCUUAAUGCUCGAAUAGCUUUUAACAAGAGAGGGACGACAUUGAUCUAUGAAGGCAUUAUUGACGACACGAUGGUCAUCUGGCCGAGACGAUCAAAAUCGUGUUAUUAUCGAUCAAAACUGAAACUCUGAUAGUGCUAGACGAUAGUACCAUUGACGAGAAUAACAAGUAAAGGCCAAAAAAAAAAAAUUCUCGAAAGAACAAUCAUAUUAAGAUGAAAAAAUAGGAUAUGAUUUGUACUCAAUAUAUUAAUAAACUCAUCUUAUUCCUAAUCUUAUUCCUAAUCGAUAUAAGACUUAAAAAACAUCCUUAACAUUUAUUUUUAAAGUGAUUAUCAUGAAAUUAAAUUACAAUAUAUUAAUGUUUGUGAUUAAAUGGUACUAUGCUAAAUUACUAUUUAUUGAAGGGAACAUUUCAUACCUGUGGUCCAGGAAACCCACCAAGUGGCCAUCCAAGUGGCCAAUUCACGUCUUUCUGCAAUAAGGUGUAUUCUUGUUCAAUUCCAUACCUGUAAGUGUAUAUAUUCAUGAAAGGAUAAAUUAUAAUAAUUUCAUUUAAAAAAUUAGAAUAAAAAAGUUUUCUUUAUAGAAAGAAAUCAUUUGUUGAAAAAUUGAAUAAUCUAAAUAAAAUGUUGGAAAAAAUACUUACCAUGGUACCUCAGCAACAACAUCAGGGUGGCUGAAAAUUUUGGCAGCAUCAUACCUCUUGUUGGUUUGAAGUGGCUCACCAGCUGGGGUGUAAACAUCACAAAUCACCUAUACAUUUUUAUUCAAGUGUGAAACAUUGACCCACAAAACAGUAUACAAUUUGAUUAAUUAAGAAAAAAAGUUGCUUGAUUUAUUAUUAUUAUUAUAAGCCAAUUGUUCAAAUUUGAAAACUUACAAGAAUAUUGUUGCCUCUCCUAAAGGGGUCCUUGAAAAUAGCUUGUGGACUUCAUCAAAGAAAACACCAACCAUCAAUCAUUUUUUAUGAAAAAGAAUAACAUUGAAUACAGAAAAGUUCAUAAGGAGAUUAAACCAUACUAUAAGAUGACUUCACUAUCAUCCCCAGGAGCUUGAUCUGUGCUAGACCCAUCAUAGUUCCAUUUUGGAAGUUUUGCAGGGUCAUCCACUGGUCCAGGAAGAGUCUGUUUGUUCACAAACCACAACAACAAAAAGGUCACAAAUUUAAAAUAGUGAACAUGGAAAAGUUUACCAAAUUAAUUUAUUAAUUAUCUCUUGAGAUGAAGAAAAAGAAAAAACCAAUUACUCUGGCUUUACUUCUGAGGUCCAUACCAGAUCCACCAACCCUGUUUAAAAGCAUACAAAAUUAAUUAAACAACUCUUCUUCGCUACAUCAUCAACUAGAUCAAACCCAAGAACAAGAUUCUAGCAUCAUCUAUUACAAAAAAAAAAAACCAACUUUUUCUUAUUUGUGUUUGAUAGAACAACAUGUGAAAUGAAGUAGUAUUCCCAAAGGAUCAGUCAACAUAAAGCAUACCACAAACCAGAAAUAACAUUAUAAUAUCAAUAAAGGGGUUGGUUGAUUAUUACAUUAGUGUAACAAUAACACUAUUUGUUCGUAGAUUUUAAAAAGAAGAAAACAAAAACAGAGUCCCCUGUUUCUUGCACAUGGCUUAGGUGAUAUGAUAGUCCAUUUUUUGUGGUGUUUGAGACAGAGGCUCACCAUAUGUACUCAGCAAUGAUCUUUUCUGUGGAUUCUGAGAGGUUGAGGUUGAUGAGAUCUGAAAGCAAAGACAUGGUGAUAAAGAAGAAAAAGAUGACUAUGAAAGGAUAUUGUAGAAGAUACCAAAAGGUGAAGCUUUGAUAGGGUGAAGUGAAUGAAGGACUCUGUUUGGAGUUAGAGUCCCUUUAUAAAUAACAAUAAUAAUGAUGAGUCACUGAUGUCAAGAAUAAACCUAAGAUUCUUGUUGCAUAGACGUGUUUGAAUGUGCUUGGAGACCCUUUUUCUUCCACAAGGUUGAAUUUUAAAACCCUGAAUAAAAAAAUUUAAUUAAUUAAUUAACUAAUUAAUUAGUUAACAAUUAAGUAGUUGUUGAAAGAAAUUUUAAGAAUAUUUACUGUGUAACUGAAAAACUUGAAAAUAUAUUUUUAGCGUAAGAAACAGUGAGAAUGAAGAGAAUAAAAGAUUAAGAAAAAUAAAAAUAAAAAGUUGGUGAAUAUUGUUGAAUGAAAACUAGUGCGCAUGUUUUGCGGCUAAAGUUUGAUUAUUAUAUUAUGAAAUUAUGAAAGGCUUGCGUACUAAAUACGUACUUAGAUUUGAUUAUAACAACACUAAUGAUUGUUUGUACUAUGAAUAAUAUAAAGUAUGUUACUAUUCCACCAACCGCUCCUCGUUAAUACAGAAAUUACGUGCACAAGUUGUUAUUUAUAUGGAUAAUUUAUUUUUGUCAAAACUUCAUCAUUUUAUGCGAUUUUUUUUUUUAAUUUUAAUUAGUUUAUUUACUUUUUGUGUACCAAAAUAACUAGUGAGUUGAUUUAUUCUUGUAUCUUAAUUCAUUGAUUAAUUAGUUAAUAAGGGUGACUUUUUCAUUAAUUAAAAGUGUAGUUGCUAAAUCCCAUAAUAGUUUAUUUCCUCGAAAAUCGUAAAUGAAACAAAACGUAAAAGAUACUUUUUUUUGGUAAAACAAAUUAAAUAAAUUAUUAUAGAAAAAUAUAAAAGGUAAAAGUGAUAAAAAAAUACUUAUUCUAUAUAAUUAAUUUUUCCAUAAAUAAAUGUUUUAUAAUAUAUAUAUAUAUAUAUAUAUAUAUUAUUUAUGAAAAUUAAUUUAUACUGAAAUAUAUAUUGUUUACUAUUGAUAAAUUUUAAAAUAAUAAAAUUUAAAUUAAAUUUAUAAUAUUUAAAACAAUAAAGUAAGACAGAUGGUGAGAUUAAGAAACAAAGGAAAUUUAUAAACUUAGAAAAUGUGGAAAAUUUCUUUAUAUUUCACUAAUGUAUACCAUAUAUAUAAGUAGGGUAUAUAGAUAUUUAACAAAUCUAAAAAUAAAUCAUUAGAUAGCAUUUAAAAUAGUUGAGGUUUUUUUAGAGAAUAAAACAUUAUAUCUCACGUAUAAAAUAUAUAUCAAUUAAGAAAAGAUACAAUUGAAUAGAUUCAUAUAAUACUUAGAGACAAACUUCAUGAUAACAUAUAAUCUUAAGGUCUUUCAUGAACAUGUUACUCGUAGGUGUUUUAUUGUUUGAGAAAUAUUUGGUUUCGUGGGAGUUAAUCACUUUUAUGUGUUUUAUGUUCUAUGUUUGAUUUAAUGCAUACGUUAUCUUUUUUAGACUUUUUUUAUUUUAUAUAUAUGAAUUUUUUUCAAUUAUUAUGAUUUGUAUAUUAAGAUUAUUAUAUUGAUCUCAUUGAGAUAAAGAACCCGUUGCAAAUAGACAUAUAUAGGUUAUCUUCACGUAACAAGUUCAUGUCAUUUGGUUGGUUUUACUAGCAUUAAUAAUUAUCAAGUUUAGUUGCACUUAAUGUAAUGAAAAUUUGUUUUGGUUGUGUAUGUGGAUGUAAUCAAAUGCAUUUGUUGAUAUGAAUAGCCAAAUCAAUUCCUUUAAGCUAUCCUUCAACUAUAUAGUCCCAUACUGGAAGCCAGGAGUCGCUCCUUGUUUGUGUCUCUUGCACCGACGAUCACCCCCCGCCAUCGUCAAUGCCCGGGUGUCACAUGCCCACCAGCUUCCGCUUGGUUCGUCUUCGAACCACACUGGGAGAGGCUAGGCUCUGAUACCAUCUGUAAUGCCCCGGCAACUUACAGGGAUUGUCCCACACAUCAACAUGACGCUUUCCAGUGUGCUUUGUCCUCACUCACACACUUUCGAGAAAACUUCCCAGUAGGUCACCCAUCCCAAAUCACUACGGGCUAAGCACGCUUAACCAUGGAGUUCUUAUGGGUUAGGCUACCGAAAAACAAAUGCAUUUGUUGAUACGAGUAGCCAAAUCAAUUUCUUUAAGCUAUCCUUCAACUGUAUAGUCCCAUACCUAUACAGUCUCUAGAUCCCUCUCAUUCCGGUGUAUGUUUGAUUCGUCCAUGUGUCCCUUCCACUGGAAGCCUGCCAGGAGCCGCUCCUUGUCUGUGCCUCUUACACCGGCGAUCAUCCCACCCUCGUCAAUGCCCGGGUAUCACAGAUAUGUUCAAGACAUAUAAUGACGAUUUUAAAUUUAUAAAAUCUAAAUACAUACAUACAUACAUACAUACAUACAUAUAUAUAUAUAUAUAUAUAUAUAUAUAUAUAUAUAUAUAUAUAUAUGGGGUUUCUUAACACGCGUACGUCUGUUUUUCAGUUGGUACGUUUUAACAAUGUGUACCGGAUUAUAAUAGACAAAAAUACCCUCAUUUAUCAUGGAUUCUAAUUUUAAGGUCAAGAAUAUUUAAAUAAUUUUCAUUCUCAAAACUAAAAAAAAAAAAAACCCAAACCCUUAUUCACUUCCCUCAUUCCUCUCAACCUUUUAUCUUUCAUAUCUCUCACUCCAACAUUUUCUCUGUCAUCCCUAUUGCCCCAAUUGAAAAAAAAAAAAAUCAGAAACCCUUGCCUAACCCUAAUCCACCUUCUUCACUUAUCUAAUUUGUUUCUCUCUCGUCUCGAUACUCUCCCUCAGCCACACACAACAACCCGUGACAUCGUAAUUUGUUGAUCUUGAUCUAUUCGUUCAUUUGGAGGAUAUGUUAUAUAUUCCCUUAUUAUUAUUAAAUUUCAUUUUUAAAUUAAAUCAUGUAAAUAAAACCUUCAUAAAUCAAUUAAUUUUUCAUACAUUAUUUACACAUCUACACCACAUUUCAUUAUAUUUUUAAAGAACAAGAUAUUUCUCUCUAUUGUCCUUUUCCUUUUACACAAAGUGUUUCUUUUUCCUUUCUCUAUUAGUAUGAGAUACAUGAUGUAAGAUUACAACCUAUAAUUGAAAGAAUUGUACUCCUAGGGAGCUCUUCUAUACCUAUUUCUUUAAUUUCCUUAUGUCCCUUUUUAUCACUGAAUUAACUUCUACCGGCGUUUAGAAUAAACUUUAACCACUGUGCAAGAUAAAAAAUAGUAAAAUCAUUUGUUACCUUUGAGAUUUUGAAAGAGUAACAUAAANUGACAAAGUUUAUAUUCAUUUUACACACAUUAAUAAAUAUAAAAUGAUUAUAAAAGAGUAAACUUUUUCAAUUUUUAAAACAUAUCUCUGAUUCAAAUUACCACCACCAUCUACAAUUGGGUUGAGAUGAGAGAAAAAAUGUUGGAGUGAUGACAGAGAAAAUGUUGAGAUGAGAGAGAAAAUAUCUCUAAUAUCUCUGAUGACAAAGGGUUUCUGAUUUUUUUUUUUCAAUUGGGACAACAGUAGGGAUGACAGAGAGAAUGUUGGAGUCAGAGAGAUGAAAGAGAAAGGGUUUAGAGGAAUGAGAGAGGUGAGUAAGGGUUUGGGGGUUUCUUUUUUAUUUUUUUUAGUUUUGAGAAUGAAAAUUAUUUAAAUAUCCUUGACCUUAAAACUUAGAAUCCAUGAUAAAUGAGGGCAUUUUUGUCUACUAUAAUCCGCUACACAUUGUUAAAACGUACCAACUGAAAAACAGGUGUACGCGUGUUAACAAACCCAUAUAUAUAUAUAUAUAUAUGGGAUUAGUAAGAGAUAGUUAACCAUUUAAGACAUACAUAUAUAUAAAAUAAAUAAUUAGACGUAUUAGAAUCAUUAUAUUAUUAAUUAAGAUAUAAAAAAUAAUAUAAUUAAUUAAAUAUAUGUCUAAGAAUACGUAUGUCAUUGAAUAUUAACGAUGUAAAUAUCAUAUCUAAAUAUCAUAUCUAAUAUUAUAAUUUGAAGAGAGGACCAAAUUAAAAAUAUUAACUUAAAAAAAAUGACAGAGGUUAUAUAAGAUUAUGAUCUUUUUAUAAGAAACAAAUUGUUGUUUCUUUCUCUUCCUCUCGGGAAAAUAAAAAAAAAAAAAAAAGCCAAAAUUGUUCUAAUUGAAAAAUCAGUUUCAUCUACAUUGCUUGGUCUAAAAUUUAUACAUUAUACUUGCUUUUAACAGCAGUAAAACAAUCAUUUCCAUGGUAUAAAAGAAAUAUCGUGAGUUAGGUUAUGAAUUUAUUACCGUUGAUAUUUAAUAUUUAAUUUUCUAAGAAAUACAUAAAAAAUAUUCAAAAUAUUUAGCUACUAUUUUUCUUAAAAGAUGAUUAUAUACUGUUUAUAAUUUAUGAUAUAUAUAUCAUAAAUUUAUUCAUUUAUUUAUUUUAUUAAAAAUAAAUCUAAUACGUUUUAAUUUAAGAAGAGAUAAAUUAUAUGUGAAGUGCGAAUACGCAAUUUGUGGAUCGUUGAUAUUAUGAGAAGGAAAAUGUAAAGGAAUUGAACAAUACUAUUUAUGUUUAAGCAUUAAUAAUAUUUCAUAAUUAUCUAGCAGCAUUAAUUUCAUUUAAAUCAAUAAAAUAAUAGGAAUGGACUUUAUUUUAUUAACUUAAAUAUGUUUUCCAAUGGAUAUUUUUAUAUCAUUUUAGGUCUAAUUUUAUAAAAUUAUUUUAAAACUAUCAUUAACAAUGUCGAACUUCAUUAAAGUAUAUUUUUGAAUAAAUUCUAGACACGCAGGGAGUGUAGACGAAUUUUAUAUUGAUAUAUAAUUAUAAUCUGUUAUAUAUUACCAAUUUAACAAAUUUUAUAAUAUUCAUCUUAUAAAUUGGUAUAAUUAAUUAGUUUCAUUAAUAAUAAUAAUAUUGGUAAUAUUUUAACAAUAAUGCUUAGAAAUUGAAUCCUAGAUCUACAUCUUUAUGAAGUUAAAGUAAUAUUUAUGAGAUGCAAUUAUUGUUACUGAAGUAUAAUAAUUAUUAUUAUAUUGAAUAAUUAUAAAACUCAGAAAUUAUAAUUUGUCGGUGAAUAUAAAAGUAUUGCGAGUUGAAUGUAUCAAGACGAUAAAAUUAAAAUUUUAUAUUAAGAUAAUGAGAUGAUAAUAUAUAAAACAUGUUAAUUUAAUAUUCGAAGUUAGCACUUUGGUACGAUGCAGAUAAUUUUGGUUCAACAAUCUUUUAUACGGAGGAAGUGGACAUUAGUAACAACUUUUUUUAUUAUUUUAAUUAAAAUUAUGAAACGUAAUUUAUAUCUGUAUGAUAUUAAGAUAUGUAUAUAUAUAUUUUUUUUAGCAAAGGUAAAAUUAAAAUAGGUAAUAUAGUAUAGUAUGGAUUGCUGAGAAUAAUUGUAUGAGAUAUUGGGUAUUGGCUAUAUGAAACAUUUAGUUACAUAAAGUCACAACUGGUUUUCUCUAGACUCUGCAAUUCAAUGGCGGUGAACUUAUCACAAAAUCCAAAUACAAAGAGUAAACAUUUAUAUAAUCAUUUAUCUUUAUUAAUAUUUAUAUUUUAAAAAAUAUAUUUUUACACACAUAAUUUUUUUAUAUUUAUUUGACAUUAUUUUUUAUUUUUUAUUUUUUUAAAUUGCAAAAAAUUAUUUUUUUAUGAUUAUUUUAUGUUUUUUACUGUUUAUCAAAUAAAAGUAAAAAUAAGUUACUCUAUAGUUACUCUUAUAUUUUUAUAUAGUUUUAAAAUCAACCCUUCCUUUUAAAUAUAGGUCUUAAUAAUAAGAUAAAUUUUAUAUUUUUCCACUUUUUUUUUAAAUUUUUUAAAAAAUCUUUCAAUGAACUAAAUUCUUACUUUUAAGAUAUAGUUUUUUACGAAGAAACUUAUAUCUUUUCUAAUGAUUGUUUUAAAAGAGUAUUUUAAGAAAACUAGAGGAAAAUUAUUUUUAAAGUCAAUAUUUUUUUUAGGUAAAAUCCUUAUCAUAAAAUAACUUUCAUAAACAUUUGAAAAUUCACAUAGUGUUAAAUAUCUAUUAACAACUAAUGGGUACCACACAUUCUCAUAAUGAGACAAGUUUACAAACUUUGUUGUCUCAAAUAAACUUAUAUUUUUUAUUCAUUACUUCGAUCUACUUAGUUUGAAUCUUGAUUGUUUUGAUGGAAGUUGAUUAGGUCAUCUUCUAAAAUUCCAUUAUUUUUCCUUAUGUUCUUAGAAAAAUAUCACAUAAUAAUCUAAAUUACACUUCUCCUUUGUCUCAUAGGUUUCUGCAAUGAUAUUGCUCAUAAAACAUAGGUUCUAGAAGAUCUUCAAUUGGUUCAUUUUGAACGGCCAAAUUAUCUUGAGUAGAAAUAUUUUGUAGAGGUUCUAAACUUGCUUGAUAAAAAACAACUCUAUGAAUAAACUUUAUAAUCAUUACCAAUUAUUUCUUUAAGAAAAACUUUUUCUCAAUAUUCUCAAAGAAUGUGAUAAUUCUCAUUUUUAAAAUUGUUUUUAAUUUGGGAUUAUUAAAUUUAAAGUCAUUGAAUAUGUUAGAAUAACCAAUAAAGUAGUUUUUGGAAGUCUAUUUUUUUUUUUCAUUUGACUUUUAUGUUAGUUGGACAUUCUCAUUUUUUCUCUUUUUCCCUUGUCUUUAAAGGUGCUUACAAAAUGAGCACUUUCAAUUUUUUAUUGUUUCAUCUUUACCUCUUCUUCCACAUAAUAUGAAAUAAUCGUUAAAAAACCAUUUCUCUUUUUAAUAUUUAUAUGAUAUCUUAAACUCAUCAAAUUGUGAAAGAAGAGAAAUCACCGUUUAAUGUAUGAAUAAGUCAUUCCACAUCUUAAGGCUUUUAAUUUGAGAACAAUAUUUGACAUUCUCAUCAUAUAUAUUCCCUCAUAUUCAUUAAUUCAUUCAAACACAUAGCUAUAUGGAUUACUAAUUGGCUUGAAAUGCAAACAUAGUUAUUACCACUACUAUAUAUUAUGCAUUUACAGUGGCCUAAAUGCGUAGUUCUAUAUGGCAAUGUUUUAUCACUUCAAUGGACAUGGUGUGAACAAACAUUGCCAAAUUUGUUGCAAGAGAUUUAAAACCAGUCAUAAUCUUCGUUCACACUCGAAUGCAUAAUAAUCAAUUCUUGUUAUUAAUGGUGAAGUUUUUUUGAAUCGUAUAGAAGACACAGUGAGGCUUAUGGAGUUUCAUGAAGAGUUGGUAAAGAAGAAGACAUUCUUAUUUUCCAUGAGUGACACGGCAAAACAUUGAGUUUAUUUGAAUUUUGGAAAAUAUUUAACAUUGUUAUUAGCAAUUCUUUGAUGAAUUUAAGUGUUUCUAUAAAUGUCAUGUCAUAUUCUCUUUAUAAAAUGUGGCACCUUGGAGAAUUGAAGCCAACCGAUGUGAUUAUUCAAUUGGUUAAUCGAAACACAGUUCAACCAUUGGAGAAAAUUAAAGAUGUUCUUAUAUAUGAUAGUAUAAGAAAGCAAAGCUUUGAGUCGAUUUUAAAUUUUUGUUUGUAGUAGUAGUACCUAUUUAAUACUUUCUUUAGCUUGUGUGAUUAAGGAUAAUAAAUAUAGUAUAAUAAAUAGGAUGAUAGAAAGUAGAUUGUACUCUCUCAAAAUAAAAAACCUAAAUUUUGAUUCAUUGUCAAUUUGAGUUAGACUAUGUUGUUUUUAGUUUAGAAUAGAUUAGUUUUCAUUUUUUACAUUAGUUUAGUUUAAAUAUGUUUCUUCUUUUCUCUUUUUUUUUAGUUUACUGAGGACAAUGCUUAAUUCAAGUACGGGGAAGGGGUAAUUUUUUUUUUCUGUUUAGUUUAGCUGGUCUGAACUUUUUUACUUUUGUAGUUUUCAUUCAUUUGUUAAUUUAGAAGCUUAAGAACAUAAUUGCAUUGCAGAUUUGAUGUGACUCUGAAGACUGUUUUGAUGAUUCCUUUUACUACUUUCUGUCAUAUUUUCUCUCUCUCAAUUUAUAGUUACUAUGUUGCUUUUUGACUUUGCAGAUUUAAUUCUGAAUGUUAGUAGCUUAUUUUAAUUGUUUUAAGUUUUCAAUAAAAUAUAAUAUAAAUUCUUAAAAUAUAUAUAAAUUAUCAAUUAAAUAUAAAAUAUAACAUAUAUUAUUGAAAAAUCUUUUUAUAUAUUUUAAUUAUAAUAUAGUUGAUAAAUUAAAACUUGUGAGAGUCAUGAAAUGUGGAGAAAAAGAAAGGUGCUAGGUGUGUGCAAAAAGAUGUCAUGUAUAUAAGUAAACAAUUUAAAACCGUGAACUCUCUCUGCAUGCACCACCUCCUUUCAGCUUUUUCUGAAAUUCUUUUUUACCUCACCUUUCCUUCCCACAAUUCUUCCUUUCCUUUGAAGAUCUCACUUCAAUCUUCUAUUUUUCUUCAAACAGAUAGUGCUUGAAGGGUGAGAAUCCACCAAUUUUACUGGCCAAAUUGGUAUUCCCAUCUCGUAAGUGUUUCUCCCCUUCUUCAAUUCAUUCUAAGGCAAUGAUCAUGCAAUACGUCUGUUGCAUGUAGCCCAUUGUGUCUUGUCUCCAAUUUUAGCUUCAACUAAGUUCUUAAGUUUGUAUUCUAUCACAAAAUGGUGAUUUAUAUGUGAUUCUAAUGUUUCCGGAAGCACAAGUGUUCGGUUGGGGUUUUCCGGAGUUUAGCUACUUGAAUAAGAGGUAAGGGAAGCUAGGUUGAAUUCUGAAUUUAUAGAACUUUAAAUUAUAUUUUUUUGAGUUUAUAUUUUUGAGUUUAAAAUUUCUGCAUGUAUGACUUGUGUGAUAGAAUAGGUUUUAUGAAAUUGAAUUGAUGAAUUAUGUAUUGGAGUGUGAUUUCUAUUGUCAUGAAUCUGUAUUUUCUAAACUGUAACUUGAAUGAGUAACUAUGAGUUAAAUUAAGAAUUUGAAAUGCAUAAGAGUAUGAAAAAGAAUUAAGAGUUGAAGUGGAAAUUUCAGUUAGGCAGUAGCUAGUUAAUCCACAUAUAGAAAUUAAAGUGUUUAAGUCAAUUUGAGGGAAAGGGGAGGAGUGAUUUUGUGAGAUAGAGGUGAGGUGCAUAUUUAGACUGCUAGUACCACUUAGUCAGGCCACUUUAGACUUGUUAGAAACAUUAAACCAACCAAAAACAUAAUACAAAUGGUAGAUUUGAAUUUGACCCCAUGAGUAAAGGAAAUUGAAUUAUUUGAUCUAAAUGUUCUGCAUAAUUGUUAGAGAUUAGUGUUUGGAUUGGAAUUGGACCCUUAGGCAAGUUAGAUUCAACUUAUACUUCGAAUUAGGAUCAUUAGAAUUCCAUCAAAGUGCCUAGAACAAGUUUGGAGUGGUGGAGUUUUGCAAAACUUCAGAAUUGGGAAUCUGCAGAAGUGCAUAUUCGCUGAGCGAGGGUUCUCGCGAGAACCAAAAAUUAAUUGGAUUUUUCAGCAGAAAUUCGCACAGCGCACCAAGAAGUGUGCGCUCAGCGAAUUUUCUGCGACAGAAGGAGUAUUUUUUAUGUUAUUGAUGUUUUGGGAGUUCCGGACGUCCAAUUUGGACGUUCUUUAGGUCGUUCUGGGGGUUUUUUACCCUUCCGGAAGUUUCCAAGCUAUUUGAAUUACUUAAGUAUUGGUAAUUAAAGAUUAUAAAGAUAUUUGUAUUAAUAAGUGAUGUUUUUCUGAAAAUAUGUAAUUCUUGUUUUCUCUUCCUUUCUUGUGUGAUGAUCUAGGUAUCUUUUCUUGUUUAUUUUAUAUGAUUUCUUCUAGUAUUAUGAGAUUGAUUCAUGCUUAAUUNUGUAAGAAACUAAACUAAUAUAAAACAUUCAUGGUAUGAAAUCAAAAGUAUGAAAAUAAGUAAAGUUAGUGUGAAAUGUAAUGUGAUUUAAGUACAUCUCUAGGUGAUAUCAAAUUAAGUUCUGGAAUGAAUAUAGGUAGCUCAAUCUUGGGGGUUUUCCUUAAUACUCUAAUGACUAUUCAAUCUCACUUAGAGAAGAUUAGUUCAUGUGGUGAGAGUAAUAGGAGGUCCUAGUCUUGGUUGUCUCCAUUUUAUAUGGGCCAAGGUGAGUGAUAACGGACUAACCUUGUGGUGGUAGGGUGGAACCCAUAGCAAUUGGCUUUGCAAGUAGAGGCCACCACAAGUGCAUAACCCGCCAUAACUCGAUAUUCAUUCCGGAUCCGGACGAGUCUAAGUCUAACACCACUUAAUAAAACUCUAAUUUAUAACUUAGUAAAACCGUUUUGUAUAAUAUUGUUUGCUUGACCUUGUAUGCUAGUUUAAUUUUGUUUACUUGUAAUAUUUUAGACAUCUAGCUUACCCUUGCAAUUGUGUGUUUUGUAUGUGUUUGAUUUCUCUUGCAAUGACCAUCCAAAUUGGAUGUGAGCAGAGGUGGGAGAGGCCCCUCUGGAGCAGAUAUUAGAUAAAGUUGAUAUGCUGUUGAGGCUCUAGACACUGCAGGGUAGUUUAGACUAGAUAGGAUCUCUUAUAUAUAUAACUUAGUUUCUCUCCUUUUUUUCCUUUUGAAAGACUUUAUAACUAUAUGUAAAGCUUUUAAAUUUUCCCUCUCUUUUGGAUGACUGUAUUAUAAUAUAUAUACUUCAUCUGAUAAUUUCUCCUAACUUUACUUUAUUAUACAUGUAGCAUUCCAUAUUAUAUAUAUAUAUAUAUAUAUAUAUAUAUAUAUAUAUAUAUAUAUUUGUGAUGUUACAAAACUAUUUAUUAUAAAUAUAUAAAAAUAAGUAUGAACGUAGACAGUGCACAAAAUUAAAAAAAAUAGUAUAUUAAGGAUUGAGAGAAGCCAUUUGUCUUUUUAAACAAAGGUAAUCUUUUGUUUUGGCAGAGCAUCGCACUUCUCUUCGUCUUUAACCUAACAAUGUCACUCCCACUAUCAAAGUUAAGGUUCUCUCUUUCUUAUUCCAUUUCCAAGUUUUCUCCUUUUCUUUCAAACCUUUCUUCCUUCUCUUCCUUUCAGUUACACUAUCACUCUUUGUCUCCUUCACCUGACCAUGACAAUGUUCAUGACGUUGUAUCCCAAUUUCGUAGCAUGUUUCAUAUGCGUCCUCUUCCUCCCAUCUUCAAAUUUGGGCAGAUUUUGGGAUAUCUUACACGGAUGAAACACUAUUCUACAACUAUUUCUCUUUUUAAGCAAAUGGAACUCAAGGGAAUUGAGAGUAAUCUUGUCAUUCUCAGCAUCGUCAUCAAUUGUUUUUGCCACUUAGGCCAGAUGCCCUUCUCUUUCUCUAUUCUUGCCAAGAUUCUUAAACGAGGUUAUCAUCCAAAUGUCAUAACCUUAAGUACCCUCAUAAAAGGUCUCUGUCUCAAUGGUGAGGUCAAGAAAGGACUUAUCUUUCAUGACAAGGUAGUUGCACAAGGAUUUCGACUUAACGAGAUUAGUUACGGGACUUUGAUCAAUGGCUUGUGCAAGGAAGGAGAAACGGAAGCUGCCAUGAAAUUGCUCAGAAUAAUAGAAGGCGGCCGAGUAUGCAAGUCUAAUGCGGUAAUGUACUCCAACUGUUCAAAGAAAAUCUUGCAAAAGAGGCUUAUGAUAUGGUUAUUAGAAUGAUGUCAAAUAACAUCAUGCAUAAUGUUUAUAUCUAUACCAUAAUGAUCGAUCCUUUAUGUAAGGAAGGAAAGAUAAAAGAAGCUAAGAGUGUGCUAGGUGUGAUGGUGAAAGCUUGUGUGAAACCUGAUAUUGUUACCUUUAGCACUUUGAUGGAUGAGUAUAUUUUAGUUAACGAGGUACAAAAUGCUAAACACAUAUUUAAUGUUAUGACUCAAACUGGAGUAACUCCUAAUGUUUACAGCUAUAAUAUCAUGAUUAAUGGAUUAUGUAAAAGUAAAAGAGUGGAUGAGGCCAUGAAUCUCUUUCAAAAAAUGCACAAGAGGAACGUGGUUCCUGAUACAGUGACUUACACUACUCUUAUUGAUGGUUUAUGCAAAUCUGGGAGAAUAACUNAUGUUUGGGAUCUUAUUGAUGAGAUGCAUGAUAAAAAUCAACAACUGAAUGUAAUCACUUACAAUUGCUUGAUACAUGCUUUAUGUAAAAACAAUCAUCUAGACCAGACAUUUGAGUUAUUCAAGAUAAUGAUGGAAAAGAAAAUUAGGCCAAAUAUGUACAUCUGGAACACACUUAUUGAGGGAAUGUGCAGAGGAGGAAGACUUGAGGAGGCACAAGAGACCUUUCAAGAUCUUUUAAUUAAAGGCUAUCCUUUAGGCGUACAUUGUUAUACUACUAUGAUCAAUGGUCUUUGUAAAAAGGGUUUACUUGAUGAGGCAUUGACCUUAUGGUCCAAAAUGGAAGACAAUGGUUGCUUACCUGAUGCAGUAACUUUUGAAAUAAUGAUUACGGCUCUUUUUCGAAAGGAUGAGAAUGAUAAGGCAGAGACAUUUCUUCGUGAAAUGAUAUCGAGAGGCUUGUUGACAUGAUAAAAGGUGAAAGCUCAUAACAUUUAUGUAUUGCUACAUAAUGUACUUGAAUGGUUUGUAUAUGCUGUGUUUUUGAUAGGAGAAGUGUGACUUUUCUGCAAUUGAUGCUUGUCUUUCUACGAAUUGAAUGUGAAGAGUUGAAUUUUUUUUUAUUUUUUAUUUUGUGCUCUACUUUUUCAUUGCUAUAAAGAAUCAAUUAUGCUAUUAAUGGUGAAAUCAUUCUCAAACAUACAGAGGACACAGUUAGGCUUAAAAGACUUCAGAAAACAACAAUUCCUUGGAUCAAAUGGUAUUGAAAACACAACUUUGAGUAGUCUAAACAAGUGUUUAUGGUUUCCAUAGGAUGAUGGUCUUUGCAAUCAUGGAGGUGACAACAUUAGGAUCCAUGUUAGAAGCAGGCCUUCUGUCUUCAAA
rnacentral:lncRNA from 1 species